rnacentral:rRNA from 1 species
CGAUAACGAACGAGACCUUAACCUGCUAAAUAGCCAGGCUAGCUUUGGCUGGUCGCCGGCUUCUUAGAGGGACUAUCGGCUCAAGCCGAUGGAAGUUUGAGGCAAUAACAGGUCUGUGAUGCCCUUAGAUGUUCUGGGCCGCACGCGCGCUACACUGACAGAGCCAACGAGUUAUUCACCUUGGCCGGAAGGUCUGGGUAAUCUUGUUAAACUCUGUCGUGCUAGGGAUAGAGCAUUGCAAUUAUUGCUCUUCAACGAGGAAUGCCUAGUAAGCGCAUGUCAUCAGCAUGCGUUGAUUACGUCCCUGCCCUUUGUACACACCGCCCGCCGCUACUACCGAUUGAAUGGCU